UAACUUUCAGCAACGGAUCUCUUGGCUCUCGCAUCGAUGAAGAACGCAGCGAAAUGCGAUAAGUAAUGUGAAUUGCAGAAUUCAGUGAAUCAUCGAAUCUUUGAACGCACCUUGCGCUCCUUGGUAUUCCGAGGAGCAUGCCUGUUUGAGUGUCAUGGA
rnacentral:rRNA from 1 species